CGUAACGAGGUCACCACUAGAGUUGCAUACUGGUGAAUAAUGCUUAGGAAUCUGGCCAGUAGUGGGGGAUAGCCCGGGGAAACCCGGAUUAAUACCGCAGACGUCCUACGGGAGAAAGCAGGGGAUCUUCGGACCUUGCGCUAUUGGAUGAGCCUAAGUCGGAUUAGCUAGUUGGUGGGGUAAAGGCCUACCAAGGCGACGAUCCGUAGCUGGUCUGAGAGGAUGAUCAGCCACAUCGGGACUGAGACACGGCCCGAACUCCUACGGGAGGCAGCAGUGGGGAAUAUUGGACAAUGGGGGCAACCCUGAUCCAGCCAUGCCGCGUGUGUGAAGAAGGCUUUCGGGUUGUAAAGCACUUUCAGUAGGGAGGAAAACCUUAUGGCUAAUACCCAUGAGGCUUGACGUUACCUACAGAAGAAGCACCGGCUAACUCCGUGCCAGCAGCCGCGGUAAUACGGAGGGUGCCAGCGUUAAUCGGAAUUACUGGGCGUAAAGCGCGCGUAGGUGGUUUGGUAAGCGAGAUGUGAAAGCCCCGGGCUUAACCUGGGAACGGCAUUUCGAACUGUCAGACUAGAGUGUGGUAGAGGGUAGUGGAAUUUCCUGUGUAGCGGUGAAAUGCGUAGAUAUAGGAAGGAACACCAGUGGCGAAGGCGGCUACCUGGACCAACACUGACAAUGAGGUGCGAAAGCGUGGGGAGCAAACAGGAUUAGAUACCCUGGUAGUCCACGCCGUAAACGAUGUCAACUAGCCGUUGGGACUCUUGAAGUCUUAGUGGCGCAGCUAACGCACUAAGUUGACCGCCUGGGGAGUACGGCCGCAAGGUUAAAACUCAAAUGAAUUGACGGGGGCCCGCACAAGCGGUGGAGCAUGUGGUUUAAUUCGACGCAACGCGAAGAACCUUACCUGGCCUUGACAUCCAGAGAACUUUCCAGAGAUGGAUUGGUGCCUUCGGGAACUCUGAGACAGG
rnacentral:rRNA from 2 species